rnacentral:ncRNA from 1 species
UAGAUAAAGGCAAAUUUAUCGAAAGAUAGAGACGCAAAGCCACGGGCCUAACGAGAAAUCUAUGGCAGCCGGGCUACCUA